UAGGGAAUCUUCGGCAAUGGGGGCAACCCUGACCGAGCAACGCCGCGUGAGUGAAGGAGGUUUUCGGAUCGUAAAGCUCUGUUGUAAGAGAAGAACGUGUGUGAGAGUGGAAAGUUCACACAGUGACGGUAACUUACCAGAAAGGGACGGCUAACUACGUGACAG
rnacentral:rRNA from 1 species